rnacentral:rRNA from 1 species
AGCGUACACGGGGGAUGCCUUGGCACCAACUGCCGAAGAAGGGCGUGGCAAGACUGCGAUAAGCCUCGGUUAGUCGUCUAGCUGACUUAACCGGGGAUUCCCGAAUGGGGUAACCCAAUUCACUAAAUGUGGAUUAUCUUUGAACUAACCCUUAAUUCAAAGAAGGUAAGCAGGGGAACUGAAACAUCUAAGUACCCUGAGGAAGAGAAAUCAAAAGAGAUUCCCGUAGUAGUGGCGAACGAAAUGGGAAUAGCCUAAACCAUAGAGGCUUCACGGCUUUGGGGCCCAUGUCUUUAUGGGGUUGCAAGAAGUAUGUGUUGAGGCCCAUAAAUCAACGAGGAGUAAGAAAACCAUUUUCUAUUCGAAUGUUCCUGGAACGGACUGCCAGAGAAGGUGAGAGCCCGGUAGAUUAAAGGAAAUGGUCUCCUUAUUACUUUCUUAAGUAGAGCGGGACACGUGAAAUCUUGCUUGAAUCUGGGGGGACCAUCCUCCAAGGCUAAAUACAGUUGGUGACCGAUAGUGAACUAGUACCGUGAGGGAAAGGUGAAAAGUACCCCGAGAGGGGAGUGAAAUAGACCUGAAACCGUGUACGUACAAACAGUCGGAGUAUCGAUUUAUCGAUAUGACGGCGUGCCUUUUGAAGAAUGAACCUGCGAGUUACUGGGACGUGGCAAGGUUAAUCUGCUAAGCAGAGGAGCCGAAGCGAAAGCGAGUCUGAAUAGGGCAUUCAGUCGCGUUCCGUAGACCCGAAACCAGGCGAGCUACCCAUGGCCAGGUUGAAGCUCAGAUAGUCUCUGAGUGAAGGACCGAACCCAUUUCAAGUACAAAUGGAUGGGAUGAGUUGUGGGUAGAGGUGAAAUGCCAAUCGAGCUUGGAAAUAGCUGGUUCUCCCCGAAAUGCAUUUAGGUGCAGCGUUGAAGAUUGACUUGAGGAGGUAAGGCUCUGGAUGGGUCAGGGGGUGCAAACUUACCGAUCCCAACCAAACCAAGAAUGCCUUAAGCUCGUACUUCAGCAGUGAGACAGUGGGGGAUAAGCUCCAUUGUCGAGAGGGAAACAGCCCAGACCACCGUCUAAGGUCCCCAAGUAUAUACUCAGUGUGAAAGGAAGUUGAAUCGCCAAAACAGCCAGGAGGUUGGCUUAGAAGCAGCCACCCUUUAAAGAGUGCGUAAUAGCUCACUGGUCGAGGGGUUCUGCGCCGACAAUUUAACGGGGCUUAAGUAUAUCACCGAAGACGUGGCAUCAGUUUACUGAUGGGUAGGGGAGCGUUCUGUAGGCAGUGAAGUCUAGUUGUAAAGCUAGGUGGAGCGUACAGAAGUGAGAAUGCAGGUAUGAGUAGCGUAUAUCUCGGUGAGAAUCCGAGACGUCGAAAAUCUGAGGAUUCCUACGCAACGUUUAUCGACGUAGGGUUAGUCGGUCCUAAGGUGUAUCCGAAAGGAGUAACCGAUGGACAGUAGGUCAAAAUUCCUACACCACCUAUUAUUCGUUUUAAUACAAAGGGGGGACACGGAAAGGUAGGCUGAGCGUGCCUAAUGGACAUGGUGCGUUCUUCUUUGAAGGCCAUCUCGCAAGACAUGUAAAUCAGUUAGCGAGGUUAUGAGCUGAGGAAGGAGAGAACUCUAGGGCUCGCCCUGGGGAAUUCGGUUGAACCUAUGCCGUCAAGAAAAGCCUCGUUGUAAGGAUAAUGGGUGACCGUACCGUAAACCGACACUGGUAGAUGAGCAUGAAAGUGCUAAGACGGUCGAGAGAACUCUGGUUAAGGAACUCGGCAAAAGGACCCCGUAACUUCGGGAUAAGGGGUUCCCUCGGGGUGAAGUCUAUUUACUAGACCAGCUCUAGAGGGACACAGCAAAUUGGCCCAAGCGACUGUUUAUCAAAAACACAGGUCUCUGCUAAGGGGUAACCCUAGGUAUAGAGGCUGACGCCUGCCCAGUGCCGGAAGGUUAAAGGGAAAGGUUAUCCGUAAGGAGAAGCUUUGAACUGAAGCCCCGGUGAACGGCGGCCGUAACUAUAACGGUCCUAAGGUAGCGAAGUCCCUUGUCGGGUAAGUUCCGACCCGCACGAAUGGCGUAACGACUUGGGCGCUGUCUCAACCAGAGACUCGGCGAAAUUGCAUUGGCCGUGAAGAUGCGGCCUACCCGCGACAGGACAAAAAGACCCCAUGGAGCUUUACUACAGCUUGGCAUUGAAUUGAGGACUGGAAUGUGUAGGAUAGGUGGGAGGCUUUGAAGCUUCGGCGCUAGUCGAAGUGGAGCCGUUGUUGAAAUACCACUCUUUUCUGUUGUUGAUUCUAACCUGUGAUAGGCACAGGGACCGUGUCUGGUGGGUAGUUUGACUGGGGCGGUCGCCUCCCAAAGAGUAACGGAGGCGUACAAAGGUUCGCUCAGGACGGAUGGAAAUCGUCCGAAGAGUGCAUUGGCAUAAGCGAGCUUGACUGUGAGACCUACAAGUCGAGCAGGUGCGAAAGCAGGUCAAAGUGAUCCUACGGUUCCGCAUGGAAGGGCCGUGGCUUAACGGAUAAAAGCUACCCUGGGGAUAACAGGCUUAUCUUGCCCAAGAGUUCACAUCGACGGCAAGGUUUGGCACCUCGAUGUCGGCUCGUCGCAUCCUGGGGCUGGAGAAGGUCCCAAGGGUCCGGCUGUUCGCCGGUUAAAGCGGCACGCGAGCUGGGUUCAGAACGUCGUGAGACAGUUCGGUCUCUAUCCGUCGUGGGCGCAGGAGAUUUGAGGAGAGCUCUUCUUAGUACGAGAGGACCGGAAGGGACAAACCUCUGGUGUUUCGGUUGUUCCGCCAGGAGCAGUGCCGAGUAGCUAUGUUUGGAUGUGAUAAGCGCUGAAGGCAUAUAAGCGCGAAGCCAACUCCAAGAUUAGAUCUCCCAUCUUGU